rnacentral:lncRNA from 1 species
CAAUUCAGGUUAAGACCAUUAUCUAGAAUGCAUGGCUGCAAAAAAUAUUGAAAAGACAUGUGUCUUUGUAUUUUCUUGGCUUGGAGGUAGGAUAUUGUUGUUAUUGUAUUCCUAGUUUGUUGUCCUUAUAUGACAAUACAAAUAUGUUAUUUGAACAUCAAAAUACAGACACGACGAUGUUGUAUAUGUUUAUCUUUAUUUCUUUUAGUAUCUUGUAUCAAAAUUUAAUUCACAGUCAAAAUCGUAGUUGAUCUAACUACACAAUCAACCACAAUUUCACAGUUUUGAACGUGAUUUAAAUUAACCAUCUAUUCAAAUUCAACCGAUUCAAUCACAAUUUUACACGUGAUUAAUCAAGCACGUAUAAGAAAAAUUAGGUGUACAUGAAAACAUUUUUGUUACAAGUAUGGUUUUGAAGUCGAGAAAUGCUGAUUUUACAGUCCACUAAUAUUUGGUAGUUAUGACUGAU